CACCAGACUCUUUAUGUGUGUGUACAAGGCAGCAAGGGGUAGCUCUGUUAGCUUGAGUCUCAGACCGUACCCCUGUCUGUGUCAACAUUGUCCAAAGGAUUUGCUUUUUUCUGAUAGGUCAAUGAACAAAAACGGUAACUCCUGCCUCUGCAAACCUAGAGAUGCAAAAAUUCCACUGCAUAUGAAGAGCCCAGUCACUCCACGCCUUGUCACUGAGACGGUGAACAAAGAUCAGGUCAUUCUCAACCACUUUAGGAAAAUGUCGCAUGUAAGGAUCUAUAAUGCAUGGCUGUCAUACAACAAUUCCUUGCAUUUUUCUUUCAAAAUGAUUUAUGCUCAAUUAAAAUUAAAUGACCCUGUCUUCUGGCCACCUAUCUCCCUAUCUCUGUGAGCAUACUCAGUACGGCAAAAGCCAGGGACUCACAGCCGUGGUUGGCUAUAAAAUUUCCCAUAUUUGAGACUGUUUAAAGUCCUAAAGUGGUCAUUUAAUCCAACGUUCCCAAGUUUUUAAUGGCCACAGAGACUUCCAGUUAAAAGGAACAAUACUAGAAGCCAGAUAUUCUGACUGGAGGUUGACAGAGGUUCAGAUAGGCAGAGUUCACCUUCAUCACACUCUUUUUCCCUUCUGUUCACAAGAGACCCUCAGGGGCACCACUGAAUAUGGUCUGAAAACCACAGCUGUACCUCGCUCUUAUCUCCCCAAGUAUUGAACAUACAACAGGACAAACAACUUGAGAUCAGAAAAAUAAAAUAAAAUAAAAAACUACUCCUUCCCCAUAAUUCAUGGCUUCUGAAACUUCAAACUAGCUUUCAGUAUUAUAUUUUAAAAUUAUAAAAUCUAGUUCAUCUGGUGAAGACCUGUAGUGUAUUUCUAAGUACAUUCACAGUUCUCUGAAUUAUGGGAAAGAAGCUUGCUCAUCAGGUAACCUUCUCUAACAUUCACCUUUCUUAAAAAUGUCUGCCCUCUGGAACAAAAGGUUAAGGAGCUCAGGCUUUGGUAUUUGUGUUUCUUUACCCAGAGGUGGCUGAUGGAUGAGGGGUAUAUUCUCAAAAUGCUUUAGGCAUAUCGUUCCUUUUUCUCAACCAUCAAAUUUCCCGUUAAUCAUUUACUUUUGUUCAGCCAUCUGUCUGAAAAGGUAACUCUUUCAAAUCAAUAACACUAGGGAUACAAAAGAAAAUGUUCUGAUGCCCAAAUUAAUGCCACUCUCUGAAUCUUCUUAUAGCUCAGUAUUUUUAAGGAAAAAUAACAAUAAAGGUUUGGCUUUUUGAUGGGUUUUCCCAUAGGAAAUCAUCUCUAUAAUAUAGCAACACUGCAAAUAAAUUAAAAGAUAUACUUGUCUGCCAGCUUUUUUUUUUAAUCAGCUUGCUCCUUCAAGGGGUUCCUAAUUUAGCACCAACCUUUGCAUUUAUCACUUCUUCCAGCCCCCAAACAUGACUUCACAUCACUGUUCAGCCUUAUAUUCCAAAGUCCAGCAACAAUCCCCUAAGAUAGUGGUUUGGCUUACUUUGUUGAAAUAUCUUGCAGACUCCAACACAAAUAUUGAUAGUGACCAAAUGAUGCAAAUUACCCAUUUCUGACCACAAUAGAAUAUUACUUAGUGAAAUCAGAUACCCAACCUUGCUGCUCAUCUUUAAAGGAAGUUCUUAUUAUAAGGUCGCAUGUUUGGAAUGAGGGUUUUGCUUAAACUUUUCUUAGAUAGCCCUUAAAUUUUUAAGAACUGGAAACAAUAGGGUUCAUUUAGGCAGCCUGAUACAAAAUUGUUGACUUUGAUUUUUGUUAUAUGAAAAUGGCCAGAUCAGUUCCUUACCACAAAAGCAUUCAGUCAGUCCAGGUCAUCUGUGACCGGCAGAGAAAUAACAAGCAAAUUGUAGCAAAGGAAAACAGAAAAGACUUUUGAAGGCCUGGUCUAAGCUACAAACUCCAGAGAUUACUUAGAAAGUUCUGUUUCCCACAUUAAGACACAAGUAAGUGCCUAAACUUGCCAAUACGCUCCCUGAAUUCAGCCUCCAGGCCUUAAACAUUAGCCUCCUUCCUUGAAAAAGACCCUGAAUCUCAGAAAUGCAAAAGUGUAAACUGGAGAAAGCUAUGGAGCACAUCAAGAUUAACUGUUCACAAAAAAAUUCUGUUCAUACUGACAACAUCUAAGAAAGAAAUACAACACAAUUCUUCCAAAAUUUAACUGUAAACUCCCAAAAAUAAAGGGCUCAAUGUCCAAGUUCAAAUGAUAAUACAAGUGAUGUCAAGAUACUGAAAGUCCCAAGGAAUUAGGCUGAGUAUUUUUAAGUUCUAUUAACACGUGUUUGUGUUACAAGAUGAUACUGAUUUCUUACCAACAAAAAUUCCCUACUACAAAAUUUUUUACUUUAUGUUUCUGCUUAGGCUAGCAAGUGCCUUCAUCACCUCUAUAGCAAAGAGGCUUUCAGAGGAGUUUUGCUUGAAAAAGAAAUCUGGGUCAGAAACUGAAAAGAUUACCUUCCACUAAAGCCUUGAUUUCAAACUACUUCAUUAGAAAAAUCUGUAAUAGUACAAUAUUUGCAUAGCUGUAAACAGUGACUUUCUAAACCUCAGAAAAAUAACACAUCUUCUAUGUAGUCACCAGGAACAGGUAGUGAGUGAUGUAUUUGGUGGCAAUGUGCUUCCCCUGGAAGGAUAAUUUCAUUUUGAAGGCUCUGAAAUUCAGGUUUUAUUUCCCUAGGUGAAGAGCAAACAUUCUUUUAGGUAAGUUGCUGGAUCAAAUACUUCAAUAUGCCCUGUUAAGGAGUUUCCAAGUAUCAUUCUAAGCAUAAUGUAUGUUUGCCUAAUGGUGCAGCAGGAAAAAGAAUAUUUCUGAAUAAUAAGGAGACUAUAGCUUUAACCAAGAUGUGUGCUAUUGUUCUGGAAGAAAAAAAAAUGAGAAAGCUUCGGUCACUGGCAGACUGUCCUUUUUAUAGCAUUCUGUAUGGCAAAGAGGGUGCAAGUCCUAACAGAAGGUGAAGCAAAUUACAUAGCUGUUCUCGUUCUAUAGGGAAGACAAGAUUUCCACUAGAGGCUUCAGGGCCCAUAAAUUCAACUAGGGCCAGCAACCCAAGAAAAUCACAUCAGAAAGGAGGCAUUUUGCAUAGGCCCCUUAAAAUUGAAAUUUACUGAUGAUUUAAAAAAAGAGAAGUACUCCUCUCACUUUUGUGGGACAGCACAAAAUGAGUAGGCCUGAGUCUUCUGUCGCAGUGAGAACAGGGAGCUUUAAGAACACCUGAGAACAAAUUUUGUGACUUCAAACUACUCUUUCCUACUUCCUUAAAAUGUGAACAAAUAAUUGAGGUGGCUAAGUUGAAAAAGGUUAAGAACUCUAUCUGCCUUCUUCUACGUUUGAGGUAAGUCUGACCUCCCAAAUUCCCCAAUCUCAGUACAAGUCAGGGAAUAGAGAGAUUGACUAGUGUCUGGGUUCGUGAUUCUCCUUGUGUAUAAACCACACUACAGAAAGAAAGAAAGAAAAUGCAAAUAACCUAAGCCAAGGAUACAGUUAACAACUAAGAGAACUGUGACAUUUAUUUCCAAAUUGAAGUAAAUUAUGUUGGUGAUUGCAUAGAAAUGGAAAAAGUAAGUACUUCAGUUUGAUCUGAAGAAAAUUGUUCUAUCAGCUUCCAGAACAAUUCAUACUUACCUGAGGACAUUAACAAGCAACUUUCAUGGGACUAAACAGUCCUCAUCCUUUCUGAAUCCAGUUUCCUAUGUCCAUCUUCCUAAUCUGCCUCAACAGCAGCUGAGCUCAAUAGUCACUAAAAUGGAAGAACUCUACAUAUCUAGUUAAUCAGAGUUUUAUAUUUAAUGCUCUAAGACUGGUGUUGGCAAACCAUGGCCUGUGGGCCAAAUUUGGCCCAUUGCUUGGUUUGUAAAUAAAGUUUUAUUGGAACACAGCCACCAGGCUCAUUCAUUUGUGUAUUGCGUAUAGAUGCUUUCAUGAUACAACAGCAGAGCUGAGUAACUGUGACAGAGAUGGUAUAACACACAAAGCCAAAAAUAUUUACUAUCUGGUCCUAUACAGAAAAAGUUUGCCAACCGUGGUCUAGGAUGUCACAGUCAAUAUUCUACAGAACAGAGCUACUAACCCCGUGGAGUAUAUAAACUGCAACCCCCUCCCAACAACAACCAAAAAAAGUUUGCAAAAUUAUGUGCUUCAUAUACAAUGUAAAUUUUCCUGGGGAAAAGGUCCUAGCUUUCAACAAAUUCCCAAAAGAAUCCAUAGUACCCAAAUUAAAGCCAAAAAAAAAACCCAAAGAGCAUCUUUAGCUGUCAGCACAUUUAACAGUGCUAGAGGCACUCAAACACAAGAGGAACAUAGACCUCCGAGAAUAAAAUAGCUUUCUUUCUAUUCUAUCGGGUCUGGUAGCUCCUUCUUCCUAGAUUUUACUCUGGCAUUUUUCCAUCUGACUAUGUAAAUUUUCAGAGGCCUAAUUGAAAACUGCACCUUCCAUUUGAAAAGUUAAAAAAAAAAAAAGUCCUAUGAAGUUGACAUUUAUUCAAAUACCUUUUCACUUGCUAAUUCAUUAAAAGCAGAAGAUCCUUUGAGCCAACAAAUCCCUCUUCAAGUCAUAGAUAGAUGUUAAGGCAAAAUCCCAGCACAAUUGACAUUUAAUCCAUUUUACUAGAUCUGACUACCAGCUCCAAUAAAUUUUGUAAAUAUAUAAAUCUUAGCUUCGAGGGCAGAGGGAGUAACACAGCCAAAACAGCAUUUGGGUAGGAAAUUAGGAACUAGGUAUCCAUUGUCCUUUCAGGCCAAAGAAAAAAGUGUUUUGUUAGACACUUUUAAGAGAAACAGAAUUGUUUCUCUGAGCAUAAUUAAUAAAGCCCCUUGGUCAACAAAGACAUUUUAGUGAUAAAUUAUGCAACAUUAACCCCUCUCUGCCUCCUUUGAGAUUAUAAUUCCCAAGACACUAAAUCAAGUUCAAUGAGAGAAAUCAGGAACCCUGUCCAUCUUAGCACCAGCCUCCUCCAAUGCUGGGGCUUUUGAGUAUUGCAUUUUUCUAGACUAAGACACUACGGCAUUGCAGGGCUGAUGAACAGCAAAGAAGAGUAGGGUUGCAGUUAAAAAAUGAAUUAGCCAAUGGCAAGCAAGAAGAAUACUAAUAAUAACAAAACAAAGAGUGAAAUAAUGUGGAGAGUUGAGUGGCCAAGAAUUUCAUUUUGAGGGUCACCAACAGCAGACAGUGCAAACAUUGGCAUAAUAGAUAUCUGUGGUCCCCAAAUUAUGUACUGAGCUAUUCCAAGGUACCACAGAACACACACAGGCUAAGCAAGAUGUUGUACAUUUUUUUUUUUUUUUUUUGAGAUGAAGUUUUGCUCUUGUUGCCCAG
rnacentral:lncRNA from 10 species